ACUUACUCUUCGGAGUGAGAGCGUACACAGGUGCUGCAUGGCUGUCGUCAGCUCGUGUCGUGAGAUGUUGGGUUAAGUCCCGCAACGAGCGCAACCCUGCAUUCAGUUGCCAUCGGUAAGGCCGGGCACUCUGGAUGGACUGCCGGCGACAAGCCGGAGGAAGGUGGGGACGACGUCAAGUCAUCAUGGCCCUUAUGUCCAGGGCGACACACGUGCUACAAUGGCCGGCACAACGGGAAGCGAAGGGCGACCCUGAGCGGAUCCCACAAAAGCCGGUCUCAGUUCGGAUUGCAGUCUGCAACUCGACUGCAUGAAGUUGGAAUCGCUAGUAAUCGUGGAUCAGCCAAGCCGCGGUGAAUACGUUCCCGGGCCUU
rnacentral:rRNA from 1 species